rnacentral:lncRNA from 1 species
UGGCAUGCCAAGUCCAUAAUUUACAGAGCAAUCGAAACCUUCUAUCUGAUAAAACUUAUCCAAAACAUAAAAAUUACUAAGUAAAAUAUGAGUAAAUUAUGUUUUAUUGUACAAAUUUUGAAAAAAUAAAAAAUAAAAAUAAAAUAAAAUAUGAGCACCUUUAUCUUCUUAAGUGCCGGUGGUUGAUGCCCGUCAGAAUAACAUAACACCCUUAUUAUCUUCUUAUGUGCCAGUGGUUGAUGCCUAUUAGAAUUGUUACAGGGCCUUUCAUCGCUAUUGCUGCUGUUAGAAGACAUUGUGGCUUUGAGCGUAAAGAAAUCUGGGAUUUGUGAGUUGUAAUCUUAAUUUGGAGUGGUCGAUCCUUAGAAUUUAUAGGGACAUUAUAGGGUAGGAAGAUCCCUUUAUGUAUUACAUAUUUGUAAGACUCCAUUCUCCUGAUGAUUUAUUAUUUCUUUUUCAUGUAAUUAACUAUGCAAUAUUAUGUAAUAGUCGAAGCUCAAUUUCUAAAGGAUUCAACCAAUAAGAACUAAAUUGCAACCAAAAUCAGAAAACAAUUGAAUAUAAUCAGUUGGGAAUCAAUAACCUAAGUUGUAAUUCUAUUAAUUAAGCUGAAGUUUAACCAGAAAUAACAAAGAUAAAUAGAGAAAGAAGGGGCAAAAUUACGGCAGUAGAAGACAGGAAGAAGAGCAGAAGAAGGAGAAAGAAAAGGAAGAAAACAACAGAGAAGAAGAUACUAGAGAAGAAGAAGAAGAAAUGGGAAAGUUAGAGAGGAAACAGUAAAAGAAGAAUAUAAACAACAGGAAAAGAGGAGAAAAAGACUAGCAGCAGCAUAAGACAGGGAAGAAGAAGACACGAUUCAAUGCAAUAUACAUCCCUUCUCCAAAAUGAAGAAAUACAACCAUAUAUAGAAUAAAACAAACCUAACAGGAAAGGGCUUUGGG